GUGUAAUUCACAUUGGCAGCACAGAUGCUAAAGCUGGAACAAUACAGAGAUUAGCAUGACCUCUGCGUAAAGAUACAUGCAAAUUUGGAAAGCUAACCAUAUUUUU